UCUCUGGUGGUCCAGUGGUGAGUGAACUCUGGCCUUCGAGGCUAAAGUUCACUCUAGCGAGAUCUGAGCAUUGCCGCGGCAACACUCCGACCUCACGAGAGGAACCCAGCGGAGAGGCUGGGGACUACUAAUGUCUUCUUUUUCCACAUCCGUUCUAGCUCCUCUUUCAGUUCUUGGUAUUUGUCCAUCUUCUCAUGUUCCUUAUCCAUGAUGUUAUUGUCACUGGGUAUUGCCACAUCUACCACCACUGUAGUCUUCUGUUUCUUAUCCACCACCAUGCUGUCAGGUUGGUUGGCCAGUACUUG